CCUACGGGAGGCAGCAGUGGGGGAUAUUGCACAAUGGGGGGAACCCUGAUGCAGCGACGCCGCGUGGGUGAAGGAGCGUUUCGGCGCGUAAAGCUCUAUCGGCAGGGAAGAAGGAGGACGGUACCUGCCUAAGAAGCCCCGGCUAAAUACGUGCCAGCAGCCGCGGUAAUACGUAGGGGGCAAGCGUUAUCCGGAUUUACUGGGUGUAAAGGGGGCGCAGACGGCAGCGCAAGCCAGGAGUGAAAGCUCGGGGCCCAACCCCGGGACUGCUUUUGGAACUGGGCGGCUGGAGUGCAGGAGGGGCAGGCGGAAUUCCUGGUGUAGCGGUGAAAUGCGUAGAUAUCAGGAGGAACACCAGUGGCGAAGGCGGCCUGCUGGACUGCGACUGACGUUGAGGCCCGAAAGCGUGGGGAGCAAACAGGAUUAGAUACCCGGGUAGUC
rnacentral:rRNA from 1 species